CGCUCCCGGAUGCGACGAUGCAAGGAUCGCUAGGGCCCCCGUUGUGUAGCGGCCUAGCACGCCGCCCUCUC
rnacentral:tRNA from 1 species